CUUGAUCCCCUAAGAGGUCCAGCCUGCCCAGUGACUUUGUUCAACGGCCGCGGUAUUCUAACCGUGCGAAGGUAGCGUAAUCACUUGUUUUCUAAAUAAAGACCAGUAUGAAAGGCACCACGAGGAUUAAACUGUCUCCUUUUUCUAAUCAGUGAACCUAAUCUCCCCGUGAAGAAGCGGGGAUUAAGAUAUAAGACGAGAAGACCCUGUGGAGCUUUAAACAUUAAACACGUGCCCCCCCCCUCCACCACUCCGGUGCUCUGCCCUACCUGCACCCUGAUUGAAUGUUUUUGGUUGGGGUGACCGCGGAGAAAACCCAUCCUCCGUAAUGAAAGAGGCCCCCCCUCUAAGCAAUGAGCUACAACUUUACGCAUCAAAAAUUGACAUAAUUGACCCAUAAUUUGAUCAAUGAAGC
rnacentral:rRNA from 1 species